rnacentral:rRNA from 1 species
GAUGAACGCUGGCGGCGUGCUUAACACAUGCAAGUCGAACGGGAUCCCAGGGGUGCUUGCACUUUUUGGUGAGAGUGGCGAACGGGUGAGUAACACGUGAGUAACCUGUCCUUUUCUUUGGGAUCAGCAUUCGAAAGGGUGUUUAAUACCUUAUGUUCUGUCUGCCUCGCAUGGGGUGGGUGGGAAAGGCUUUGGCCGGAUUUGGGUGGGCUCGCGGUCUAUCAGCUUGUUGGUGGGGUGAUGGCUUACCAAGGCUUUGACGGGUAGCCGGCCUGAGAGGGUGGUCGGUCACAUGGGGACUGCGGUACGGCCCAGACGGCUGCGGGAGGCAGCAGUGGGGGAUAGUGCACAAUGGGCGAAAGCCUGAUGCAGCGAGGCCGCGUGGGGGAUGAAGGCCUGCGGGGUGUAAACGUCUGUUGCUCUGAACAAGGCAUGCCAGUGGGUGUGUUGAGGGUAGGGGUUGAUUAGCGCCGGCUAACUACGUG